rnacentral:pre_miRNA from 1 species
AGACUCCAACCCCGGUUACACAUGUGUAAUAAUAUGGGUGUAGCCAGAGCUUGGGCCUGC